GAUGAACGCUGGCGGCGUGCUUAAUACAUGCAAGUCGAGCGAGGAGCAGCAAUGCUUCGAGUGGCGAACGGGUGAGUAACGCGUUGGUGACCUGCCCCGAAGUGAGGGAUACCAGGCCGAAAGGCUUGCUAAUACCACAUGUUCAAAGAGACGGUUAGGUAGCUCUUUGAAAAGGAGAAAUCCGCUUUGGGAGGGGCCUGCGACCCAUCAGCUAGUUGGUAAGGUAAUGGCCUACCAAGGCGAUGACGGGUAGGGGACCUGAGAGGGUGGCCCCCCACAAUGGAACUGAAACACGGUCCAUACACCUACGGGUGGCAGCAGUAGGGAAUAUUGCUUAAUGGGCGAAAGCCUGAAGCAGCAACGCCGCGUGUGCGAUGAAGGCCUUCGGGUUGUAAAGCACUUUUGAUCGGGAAGAGGAAGGAUGGUACCGGUCGAAUAAGCCUCGGUUAACUACGUGUUAGUAGUUGUGGUAAAAUGUAGGAGGCGAGCGUUAUCCGGAUUUACUGGGUGUAAAGCGCGUGCAGGCGGUUUGUUAAGUUGGAUGUGAAAGCUCCUGGCUCAACUGGGAGAGGUCGUUCAAGACUGGCAGACUGGAGAGCAGUAAGGGAAGGUGGAAUUCCGGGUGUAGUGGUGAAAUGCGUAGAUAUCCGGAGGAACACCAGUGGUGAAGGCGGCCUUCUGGACUGCAUCUGACGCUCAGACGCGAAAGCUAGGGGAGUAAACGGGAUUAGAGAUUCCGGUAGUCCUAGCCGUAAACAAUGUGAACUUGGCGCUGGGUGGGUAAAACUAUUCAGUGCCGGAGCAAAUGCGAUAAGUUCACCACCUGAGGACUACGGCCGCAAGGUUA
rnacentral:rRNA from 1 species